rfam:Candidatus Colwellbacteria bacterium RIFCSPLOWO2_02_FTLL_45_11 rifcsplowo2_02_scaffold_2385, whole genome shotgun sequence.
ACCUGCAGCGGGACGAGAAGACCCCGGGAGCUUUACUGCAGCUUGGCAUUGACUUUAGGAGUUGGUUGCGCAGCGUAGCGGGGAGGCUUUGAAACCUCACUUUCGGGUGGGGUGGAGCCGUCAAUGAGACACCCGUCUUCCUGCUUCUCUUGUNNNNNNNNNNNNNNNNNNNNNNNNNNNNACAGUGUCUGGCGGGCAGUUUAUUUGGGGCAAAUUCCUCCUAAAGGGUAAUGGAGGAGCUUAUUAAGGUCGGCUUAGUCCGGAUGGAAAUCGGGCUUAAAGCGUAAAGGCAAAAGCCGGCUUGACUGCAAGACCUACAAGUCGCGCAGGUGCGAAAGCAGAACUUAGCGACCCGACGGCACUUUAUAGAACGGCCGGAGAUACCGGAUAAAAGCUACCCCGGGGAUAACAGGCUGGUCGCGCCCGAGCGUCCACAGCGGCGGCGCGGUUCGGCACCUCGAUGUCGGCUCACCCUAUCCUGGGGCUGAAGCAGGUCCCAAGGGUUUGGCUGUUCGCCAAUUAAAAGGGUACGCGAGCUGGGUUUAGACCGUCGUGAGACAGGUUGGUCUUUAUCUACUGUAGGCGUAUAACGUUUGAGAGAGGUUGACCCUAGUACGAGAGGACCGGGUUGAACGAACCUCUGGUCUAUCGGCUUUGCUACCAAGUGAACUGCCGAGUAGCUAUGUUCGGACGGGAUAAGCGCUGAAAGCAUCUAAGUGCGAAACCCAUCUCAAGAUUAGACGUAGGUCCCUGGAAGACUACCAGGUUGAUAGGCUCUAGGUGCAAGCACGGCAACGUGUUUAGCCAAGGAGUACUAAUAGACCGUUAUCGUAAGGAG